rnacentral:lncRNA from 1 species
UUUUUUUUUUAAUAAGACGGUCUCACUAAAUUGCUGAGGGCCUCUCUAAGUUACUGAGGCUGGCUUGGAACUCUAUCCUCCUGCCUCAGCCUCUUGAGUUUCUGGGAUUACAGGUGUGGAUGACUAUGCAGGACUCCAAGAAGAACAUAUUUUCUUAAUUCUAAAACUGUUUAAAAUGUAUUUUGCAAUUAUAUCGCAGUGAUGCCAAAAUACAGAUUCAAAUUUGAAAUGAGCAGGGAUACUUAAUAUUGGGUCUGGAUCCUCAACAGCCCUGUAGAAGCCCUUGGAUAAUCCCUGAACUCUGUACUGAUCUCCAAAAUUAUAUGUAUGUGCUGAUGUACUUUAUCCUGGAAAGAGGAUUUGAAAUUUUAAUCAGCUCUUUAAAGAGAUCUAUAGAUCUCUGAAAGGGACCUUUGAAAAUUUUAGGGGAAGGAUAGAUUAUCUACCCUUCAGACCAUCCUUAAGUGAUAUUUAUGAAGCUG